rnacentral:rRNA from 1 species
UACGGGGGGGGUAAGCGUUGUUCGGAAUUACUGGGCGUAAAGGGCUCGUAGGCGGCCAACUAAGUCAGACGUGAAAUCCCUCAGCUUAACUGGGGAACUGCGUCUGAUACUGGAUGGCUUGGAUUCGGGAGAGGAAUGCGGAAUUCCAGGUGUAGCGGUGAAAUGCGUAGAUAUCUGGAGGAACGCCGGUGGCGAAGGCGGCAUUCUGGACCGAUAUUGACGCUGAGGAGCGAAAGCCAGGGGAGCAAACGGG